rnacentral:rRNA from 1 species
AGCGAACGCUGGCGGCGUGCUUAACACAUGCAAGUCGAGCGAGAAAGGGGGCUUCGGCCCCUGAGUACAGCGGCGAACGGGUGAGUAAUACAUGAGCAAUCUAUCCUUGAGGCGGGAAUAACCCAGCGAAAGUUGGGCUAAUACCGGAUGAGACCACAGGAGGAAACUCCAAGGGUCAAAGGCAGCUUUCUUUUGGGUAGCGGCCCUUCGAAGAGGAGCUCAUGUCCUAUCAGCUAGUUGGUAGGGUAACGGCCUACCAAGGCGAAGACGGGUAGCUGGUCUUAGAGGAUGAUCAGCCACACGGGGACUGAGACACGGCCCCGACUCCUACGGGAGGCAGCAGUGGGAAUAUUGGGCAAUGGGCGAAAGCCUGACCCAGCGACGCCGCGUGGGUGAUGAAGGCCUU